rnacentral:ncRNA from 1 species
AAAAAAAAAAGAAAUGUUUUAAGAUAUCUUAAAGUUUUAAUAAGAAAAGCAAAAAUUAAAAAUGUUAAAUUAGCAGAAAAAUCUAAAAAAUUUUUUAAUUUUAAUAUUUUUAAUAGUGAUAAUUUUAUACAACAAGAUAAUACUAAAUCUAAAUAUUUAAAAAAAAUUAUUUUAAGUAAUUUAAAAUAUAAAAGAGUAUCUGGUGUUAGAUUAGAAGCUGCAGGUAGAUUAACUAGACGUUUUUCAGCUUCUAGAUCUCAACGUAGAACUAAAUAUAAAGGAAACUUAGAAAAUGUUUAUUCUUCAUUUAAAGGUUAUCCUACACCAGUGUUAAGAGGAAAUGAUAAAGCUAAUUUACAAUAUACUGUAAUUAACUCAACUUCACGUGUUGGAGCUUUUGGUGUUAAAGGUUGAGUAAGUAGUACUUAAUUUCUUUUUUCUUUUUUUAUUUACAAUUUUCCCUCCCUUAUAUUAAUUAAUAAAGAUGAUGAAAUAGUCUGAACCGUUUUGAGAAAAAUGGAAAUAAAAGUAUAUUCAGCUUUUUGCUGAAUCUUUUAUGAUAACAUAAAUUGAACAGGCUAAUUUGCGCAAGAGAGUACAAAUUGAGUGCGCGGUUUGGCACCUCGAUGUCGGCUUAGCUCAUCCUCAUGCAUGCAGAAAUCAUGAAGGGUUCGACUGUUCGUCGAUUAAAGAGCUACACGAGCUGGGUUUAAUACGUCGUGAGACAGUAUGGUUUCUAUCUUCUAGAGGAACAUAAAGUAGAUUAAAGAUAGCCCCUUCGUACGAAAGGAGUUGGGUAUAUUGAUCUCUGGUUUACCUGUUGUUUAUGGUUUAUAUUAUAACAUAUGUUAUAAUGAUAAUUAAUACUUAUACUAAGGUAUUGUUACACUAUUAGUAGUGUAACCAGACAACAUAGGCAUGGCAGGAAAGCUACAUCAGUUAAAGAUAAGUGUUGAAAGCAUCUAAACGCGAAGCAAACUUUAUGAUACUUUUAUACGUAGUAGAACACUACGAGCAUAAUUGUUAUUUUAACAAUUAAUAGGCUUUGGUUGUAAGAAUGAAAACAUUUUUAGAUAUAAAGUACUAAUUUUUAAGAAUAGUAUACUAA